GAUGAACGCUGGCGGCGUGCCUAAUACAUGCGAGUCGAGCGAACGGACGAGAAGCUUGCUUCUCUGAUGUUAGCGGCGGACGGGUGAGUAACACGUGGAUAACCUACCUAUAAGACUGGGAUAACUUCGGGAAACCGGAGCUAAUACCGGAUAAUAUUUUGAACCGCAUGGUUCAAAAGUGAAAGACGGUCUUGCUGUCACUUAUAGAUGGAUCCGCGCUGCAUUAGCUAGUUGGUAAGGUAACGGCUUACCAAGGCAACGAUGCAUAGUCGACCUGAGAGGGUGAUCGGCCACACUGGAACUGAGACACGGUCCAGACUCCUACGGGAGGCAGCAGUAGGGAAUCUUCCGCAAUGGGCGAAAGCCUGACGGAGCAACGCCGCGUGAGUGAUGAAGGUCUUCGGAUCGUAAAACUCUGUUAUUAGGGAAGAACAUAUGUGUAAGUAACUGUGCACAUCUUGACGGUACCUAAUCAGAAAGCCACGGCUAACUACGUG
rnacentral:rRNA from 1 species